rnacentral:snRNA from 1 species
GAGCUGCGGUGUAAGAGGAGAUCUCUUGAUCACAAUGGUGAUUUUCCCAGGAUGAGGCCCAUCCAUUGUAUUCCAGGCACACUGACCACUGCAAGUUUCCCCAAGUGUGGGAAACUCAACUGUACUAUUUUGUGUCAAUGGGGGACUGAGUUCACACUUUUCUCCU